AUGAUCCUCACUGCCCGCCCGCCCUCCCGCCCCUCACUCCUGGCAGAGUUUAAAACCUUCUUGCAGCAAGUGAGCCUGAGGCAGCCCUUGCCCGCUCAGUGCUCUCUGGUGCCUGGAUCCCUGUCCUUGAGCUUGCCUGAGGAAGUGCGCCAUGGAUAGGAGGAGGUGGAGCCAUUUGCCUUAGAGGCAGAAAAUGCCCAACUCAUGUCUCUUAUCAUUAGUACCUUCUAUUCCAACAAGGAAAUUUUUCUUCUGGAGUUGAUCAGAUGCCUUGGACAAGAUUUGCUAUGAGAGCCUGACAGACCCUUCCAAAUUGGACAGUGGUAAAGAGCUGAAAAUUGACAUCAUCCGGAACCCCCAGGAGCAUACUCCAACUCUGGUAGACACGGUCAUUGGCAUGCCCAAAGCUGACCUCGUAAAUAAGUUGGGAACCAUUGCCAAGUCUGGUACUAAAGCAUCUAUGGAGGCUCUUCAGGCUGGUGCAGACAUCUCCAUGAUUGGGUAAUUUGGUGUGGGCUUCUACUCUGCCUACCUAGUGGCAGAGAAAGUGGUUGUGAUAACAAAGCAUAAAGAUGAGGAACAGUAUGCCUGGGAGUCUUCUGCUAGGGGUUCCUUCACUGUCCGUGCUGACCAUGGUGAGCCUAUUGGCCGGAGUACCAAAGUGAUUCUCCACCUGAAGGAAGACCAGACAGAGUACUUGGAAGAGAGGUGGGUCAAAGAAGUGGUGAAGAAGCACUCACAGUUCAUAGGCUAUCCCAUCAAACUCUGUCUGGAGAAAGAACGUGAGAAGGAAAUCAGUGAUGAUGAGGCUGAAGAAGAGAAAGGUGAGAAAGAAGAGGAAGAUAAAUAUGAUGAAGAGAAGCCUAAGAUUGAAGAUGUGGGUUCAGAUGAGGAGGAUGAUAGUGGCAAAGAUAAGAAAAAGAAGACAAAGAAGAUAAAGGAGAAGUACAUUGAUCAGGAAGAACUGAACAAGACCAAGCCCAUUUGGACCAGAAACCCUGAUGACAUCACCCAGGAGGAAUAUGGUGAGUUCUACAGGAGUUUUACCAAUUACUGGGAAGAUCGCUUGGCAGUAAAGCACUUCUCUGUAGAAGGUCAAUUGGAAUUCAGAACACUGCUGUUCAUCCCCUGUCAGGCUCCUUUUGACCUCUUUGAGAACAAAAAGGAAAAGAACAACACCAAACUGUGUGUCCAUCCUGUGUCCAUCUGGACAGCUGUGAUGAGUUGAUUCCAGAAUAUCUCAACUUCAUCCAUGGGGUGGGUGACUCUGAAGACCUUCACCUGAACAUCUUCAGAGAAAUGCUCCAGCAGAGCAAAAUUUGGAAGGUUAUUCGUAAGAACAGUGUUAAGAAGUGCCUUGAACUCUUUUCUGAGCUGGCAGAAGACAAGGUGAAAUAUAAGGAAUUCUAUGAGGCAUUCUCUAAAAUCCUGAAGCUUGGAAUCCAUGAGGACUCCACUAACUGGCGAUGCCUUUCUGAGCUGCUGCACUAUCACACCUCCCAGUCUGGAGAUGAGAUGACUUCUCUCUCAGAAUACGUGUCUCACGUGAAGGAGACCCAGAAGUCCAUCUGUUACAUCACUGGUGAGAGCAAAGAGCAGGUUAACUCUGCUUUGGGGGAGCACGUGCGGAAGCGUGGCUUUGAGGUGGUGUACAUGAUGGGGCCCAUUGAUGAGCACUGUGUGCAGCAGCUCACGGAGUUUGAUGGGAAGAGUCUGGUCUCCGUGACCAAGGAGGGCCUGGAGCUGCCUGAGCACAAGGAGGAGAAGAAGAAGAUGGAGGAGAGCAAGGCCAAGUUUGAGAACCUCUGCAAACUCAUGAAAGAGAUCUUGGAUAAGAAGGUGGCGAAGGCGACGAUCUCCCAACAGGAGAUCAUGUCUUCACCCUGCUGCACUGUGGCGAGCACCUGCAGCUGGACAGCCAACGUGAAGUGCAUCAUGAAAGCUCAGGCACUUUGGGGCAACUUGACCACGGACCACAUGGUGGCCAAAAAGCGCCUGGAGAUCAGUCCUGACCACCCCGUCAUGGAGACCCUGCAGCAGAAGGCAAGAGGCAGACGUAAACGGCAAGGCCGUCAAGGACCUGGUGGUGCUGCUGUUUGAAACUGCACUGCUCUCCGCUGGCUUCUCGCUUGAGCAUCCCCAGACCCACUCCAACCAUGUCUACUGCAUAAUCAAGCUUGGCCUGGGCACUGAUGAAGACGAGGUGACGGCAGAGGAGCCCAGUGCUGCUGUUCCUGAUGAGAUUCCCCGCCUUGAGGGUGACGAGGAUGCCUCUCACAUGAAAGAAGUAGAUUAGGAGUUUUUACCUGCAGCCUGCUCCCUUUGUAUAGCAUCCCCAUGGCUCCCCCAGCAGCAGCCCUAGUGGCCCUGGCCCACGUGGUUCCCUCUGCUGAUGUCUAGUGGUUUUAUUUCUGUCCUUCUGUCUAAGACAGGAUAUAAAGGCCUCAAGCAAGCCCUAUCCCUAUCCAUGUUUGACAUGGGGUUUGAAAAUUGUGUGUUGUGUUUUUGUUCUGAAUUUUGUUUUGUUUUUGUCCUGAAAUUAAAGUAUUGGGAAAAACAGAACCAAACGGCGAGAUAGCACUACAUGCCUCUUAGAAACGGCCGAGAUCUAGAAUGCUGCAAGGGCAAAUGCUGCAG